rnacentral:rRNA from 1 species
GACGAACGCUGGCGGCGUGCUUAACACAUGCAAGUCGAACGGAAAGGCCCUGCUUGCAGGGUACUCGAGUGGCGAACGGGUGAGUAACACGUGGGAUGAUCUGCCCUGCACUUCGGGAUAAGCCUGGGAAACUGGGUCUAAUACCGGAUAGGAGCCAUUUUUAGUGUGAUGGUUGGAAAGUUUUUUCGGUGUAGGAUGAGCUCGCGGCCUAUAAGCUUGUUGGUGGGGUAAUGGCCUACCAAGGCGGCGACGGGUAGCCGGCCUGAGAGGGUGGACGGCCACAUUGGGACUGAGGUGCGGCCCAGACUGCUACUGGAGGCAGAAGUGGGGAAUACUGCACAAUGGGCGCAAGGCUGAUGCAGCGAGGCCGCGUGGUGGAUGACGGCCUUCGGGUUGUAAACUCCUUUCGCUAGGGACGAAGCUUUUUGUGACGGUACCUAGAUAAGAAGCACCGGCUAACUACGUG